rnacentral:rRNA from 1 species
UUCCAGACACCUACGGGUGGCAGCAGUCGAGAAUCUUUCACAAUGGGGGCAACCCUGAUGGAGCGACGCCGCGUGGAGGAUAAGGUCUUCGGAUUGUAAACUCCUGUCAUGCGCGAACAAGGUUGCAGGGUUAAUACCCGUGCAAAUUGAUGGUACCGCAAGAGGAAGAGACGGCUAACUCUGUGCCAGCAGCCGCGGUAAUACAGAGGUCUCAAGCGUUGUUCGGAAUCACUGGGCGUAAAGGGUGCGUAGGUGGCGUGGUAAGUCAGAUGUGAAAGCCCGGGGCUCAACCUCGGAACUGCAUCCGAUACUACCAUGCUAGAGUACUGAAGAGGUGACUAGAAUUCUCGGUGUAGCAGUGAAAUGCGUAGAUAUCGAGAGGAAUACCAAAGGCGAGGGCAGGUCACUGGGCAGUUACUGACAUUGAGGCACGAAGGCUAGGGGAGCAAACGGGAUUAGAUACCCCGGUAGUCCUAGCAGUAAACGGUGCAUAUUUGGUGUGGGGGGAAUCGACCCCUUCCGCGCCGGAGCUAACGCCUUAAAUAUGCCGCCUGGGAAGUACGGUCGCAAGAUUAAAACUCAAAGAAAUUGACGGGGACCCGCACAAGCGGUGGAGUAUGUGGCUUAAUUCGAUGCAACGCGAAGAACCUUACCUGGUCUUGACAUGCACUGUGUCUCUGGUGAAAGCCAGAUAGAGUAGCAAUACUCGCUUUGCACAGGUGCUGCAUGGCUGUCGUCAGCUCGUGUCGUGAGAUGUUGGGUUAAGUCCCGCAACGAGCGCAACCCCUGUGAUUUGUUGCCACCCAGUUUACUGGAGCACUCGAAUCAGACUGCCUAGAUCAACUAGGAGGAAGGUGGGGAUGACGUCAAGUCCGUAUGGCCCUUACGACCAGGGCUGCACACGUACUACAAUGCCCAGCACAAUGCGAACCGAUACCGCGAGGUGGAGGAAAUCAAUAAAACUGGGCUCAGUUCAGAUUGCAGUCUGCAACUCGACUGCAUGAAGUUGGAAUCGCUAGUAAUGGUACAUCAGCUACGGUACCGUGAAUACGUUCCCGGGUCUUGUACACACCGCCCGUCACAUCAUGGAAGCUGGUUUCGCCCGAAGUGCAUGAGUCAACCGCAAGGAGACAGUGCCCUAAGGCAAGACUGGUGACUGGGAUGAAGUCGUAACAAGGUAGCCGUAGGGGAACCUGCGGCUG